rnacentral:rRNA from 1 species
GAUGAACGCUGGCGGUAUGCUUAACACAUGCAGGUCGAACGGACUCUUCGGAGUUAGUGGCGGACGGGUGAGUAACGCGUGAGAAUCUGGCUUUGGGUUCGGGACAACCACUGGAAACGGUGGCUAAUACCGGAUGUGCCGAGAGGUAAAAGAGAAAUUGCCUGAAGAUGAGCUCGCGUCUGAUUAGCUAGUUGGUGAGGUAAAGGCUCACCAAGGCAGCGAUCAGUAGCUGGUCUGAGGGGAUGACCAGCCACACUGGGACUGAGACACGGCCCAGACUCCUACGGGAGGCGGCAGUGGGGAAUUUUCCGCAAUGGGCGAAAGCCUGACGGAGCAAUACCGCGUGAGGGAAGAAGGCUCUUGGGUUGUAAACCUCUUUUCUUAGGGAAGAACAAAAUGACGGUACCUAAGGAAUCAGCAUCGGCUAACUCCGUG